UACGGGGGGAGCAAGCGUUGUUCGGAUUUACUGGGCGUAAAGGGCGCGUAGGCGGCGCAACAAGUCACUUGUGAAAUCUCCGGGCUUAACCCGGAGCGGCCAAGUGAUACUGUCGUGCUAGAGUGCGGAAGGGGCUACUGGAAUUCUCGGUGUAGCGGUGAAAUGCGCAGAUAUCGGGAGGAACACCUAUUGCGAAGGCAGCUCGCUGGGACGUCACUGACGCUGAGACGCGAAAGCGUGGGGAGCAAACAGG
rnacentral:rRNA from 1 species